UGGGGCUGUAACUCAGUGGUUGAGUGCUUAUCUUACAUGCAUGAGGCACUGGGUUCGAUCCUCAGCACCACAA
rnacentral:tRNA from 1 species